AAUUCGCGUUAGGGAUUGAAGCGGCAUCCUUUUUGCUUUUUGCAAAAAGAUAUAGUGUAAAGCCCGACCUUUA
rnacentral:sRNA from 1 species